rnacentral:lncRNA from 1 species
AUAUAUUAACUCCCUGAACUCGUCCCUAAGUGAUUCCAAGUGAAAAGAGGGUGAAACAGUCAAAGAGAAACAGAAACAAGAAGCUGGAAUUUCUGAACAGCCUUGUUACUCCACAGUUUUGAGGUUUGUUUCUAUUAUUUCUUAAGGGGUUUAUGAUUUCUUGAACAUCUAAAGUUGUUUGUGAUUAAGUUGGAGUGUUGUUAAUGAUGUUAUGAUGCCUAAAUAGGGGUAAUUAAUGGCAAGAAUUUGAAAGAAAUUAAUCUGGACAGAGAUGAGGAAUUGCUGGAUUGAGUGAUUUAUACCUUGAUUUUGGGAUGAUACUUAGUGUUUAACUUAUAUAUAUCAAUAUUAACAUUUUUAUAUGUAAGUAGGGAGUGUAGAAAUGGUUUUUAAUGGCCUAGGAUUCUGUUGGUAUCAUAACAAUAAAAAGGAAACCGAAAACAGUCAAAGGGAAAAACUGCCUGAUUUUAUGUAGUGGAAAAUGAACUGUUUUUGAAGCUCCAAACACUUCAUUUGUCACAAUGUUAUGAUCUGAUUAUCUUCACAUAUAUGUUAUAGGUGUGUGGUAAAAUUUUGGGAACCGUUAAAUGUAGGUAAGGACAUGAAAAAGAAUUUGAAAAAAUGAGUGGACGGUGAUGGAAACCUAGAAAACAGAUUCUGUCCAUUUGGGUAUUUAAUGUGAUUUCAACAUUUAGAUGUCCCCUAAUGAACUCUUGGGCCUAGAAAAUAUAUCCUAAGGAAUACUAGGUUGUCAAAAACAAUUGGAUGACGUUGACAUUCAUAAUUGGACUCGAGAGAUAGCGAGACUUAUGGGAUUAGUUUGUAAUGCCAUCGGUAACUUGAAAUAAUGAUUUUGUCUAAAUUGUUUUGGUGUGAAUGGACGUAUUUUGGGAUUGUGUGUGUUAAGAUUAUUAAAUAGAGAUUGUAUUUAAUAUUAGAUAAUAAUACAGGCGACUUUUCGACGUUGAGCGAAAAAGGGAAUUGAUACACACUCCAUAGGAGCUUACACACAUAAAGGCGAAAGGU